rnacentral:rRNA from 1 species
GAUGAACGCUGGCGGCGUGCUUAACACAUGCAAGUCGAACGGAAAGGCUCCUGCUUGCAGGGGUACUCGAGUGGCGAACGGGUGAGUAACACGUGGGUGAUCUGCCCUGCACUUCGGGAUAAGCCUGGGAAACUGGGUCUAAUACCGGAUAGGACGAUGGUUUGGAUGCCAUUGUGGAAAGUUUUUCGGUGUGGGAUGAGCUCGCGGCCUAUCAGCUUGUUGGUGGGGUAAUGGCCUACCAAGGCGUCGACGGGUAGCCGGCCUGAGAGGGUGUACGGCCACAUUGGGACUGAGAUACGGCCCAGACUCCUACGGGAGGCAGCAGUGGGGAAUAUUGCACACUGGGCGCAAGCCUGAUGCAGCGACGCCGCGUGGGGGAUGACGGCCUUCGGGUUGUAAACUCCUUUCGUCAGGGACGAAGCGAAAGUGACGGUACCUGGAUAAGAAGCACCGGCUAACUACGUG